AGGACUAACGCUGGCGGCGUGCCUAACACAUGCAAGUCGAACGGGGUAGCAAUACCCAGUGGCAGACGGGUGAGUAACACGUGGUCAACCUACCUCUAUGUGGGGGAUAACUAGCCGAAAGGUUAGCUAAUACCGCAUACGAUCGCUUUGGGGCAUCCCUAGGCGAUGAAAGGAGCAAUCCGCAUAGAGAGGGGACUGCGUCCCAUUAGUUAGUUGGUGGGGUAACGGCCUACCAAGACUCCGAUGGGUAGCUGGCUUGAGAGAGCGACCAGCCACACUGGAACUGAGACACGGUCCAGACUCCUAUGGGAGGCAGCAGUGAGGAAUUUUCCGCAAUGGGCGAAAGCCUGACGGAGCGACGCCGCGUGUGGGAAGAAGGCCUUCGGGUCGUAAACCACUGUCGAAGGGGACGAUAAUGACGGUACCCUUGGAGGAAGCCCCGGCUAACUACGUGCCAGCAGCCGC
rnacentral:rRNA from 1 species